GCCUAGCGUACUGGCUACGAGGAUUUAGGCGGCUCGUCGGCUCCUGGCGUUUUCCGGGGCUAAGGACCCCUGAGGCCUUAUUUCUGGGACCCGUGGAAUCGGGGGCCGGCAUGGAGGCCUUCGUGUGGCCAGAACCGGGGAGCUCCCGAUUCCCUUGGGGCUGGAGAAGCCGCUGUGUCACCCAACGGGGCAAGGGGGUGCAGAUGACCUCAAGGGUUGUCACCCAGAAUUCUGCAGUUAUACGUAACAGAAACGGAGCAGGAUUCUUCCAGUAUUUAUAUUUAAUGAACAUGGCAACUUGCAAGAUCAAUCAUGAAAAUUUUGAUUUGGAAGAGACCCUUUGUCUGGAAUAUGCUUGCCCCAGAUAGCUUCACGGCUUGUACCACUCAGGCCGCAGCGUUACCCUUCGCCAGCAGGAACCACUGUCUAACGAAGAAUGUCCUCCAGACUGAAAACCCCCGGGUGAAAUGCAUGAGAUGAG